UACGUAGGAUGCAAGCGUUGUCCGGAUUUACUGGGCGUAAAGCGCGCGCAGGCGGCACACCAAGUACCCUAUGAAAUCUCCUUGCUCAACGGGGGAGGGUGUGGGGUAGACUGGUGAGCUAGAGGGACGGUAGGAGGGGGGUAGAAGUUGCUGGUGUAGCGGUGAAAUGGCGUAGAGAUCAGCAGGAAUACCCGUGGCGAAGGCGGCCCCCUGGGCCGGUACC
rnacentral:rRNA from 1 species